rnacentral:lncRNA from 1 species
AGCUCAAAAUCAGCUUUAUUAAUUUAAAAUUAUACAGUCUGCAAUCUUGGUGCCUGACACUUGUUACAGGCAGAAAGCUGCUUUAAAAACAUUGUAAUAAUAAUAAUUAGCAGCAACUAUUGUUCACCAGAAGCUUUCAUCCAUGUCUCCAUGAGAAAUGUCUGCAUUGCUGUGUUAAGGAUAGAAGGGAGGGAAACAAAGUGGUGUGAGUCCAAAGUAGUUUCAUAGCUUAAAUAGAAAUACUUGUUUUAAAAAGGAAGUUAAGAGAUUGCCUAUGCUGCAGUUCUCUUACUAUUUCAAUGAACUGAAGGAAAUAAGCAAGCUCUUAAGGGUGAAGAUUUGGGCCUCAAUGAAUAGAAAGCCAUCUACCUACCUACCAAAAAGGCAUACUACCUACCUACCUACCUACCUAUCUACCUACCUGCUCCUUCUGUGGUGCUCACCCAGUAAAAACAACACAGCACAUGUACCAAUUCAGGAGCACAGGUACGGUCUGGUAUGUAAACCAGCACUUUAAGGGCACAGAUUACUGAAUCAUUACCACUGUUGCUGUAUUUAAUUUUUUUUAACUGCUCCAUAUUUUUUGCUUAUACAUAUUUUCAUUUCUACAUCUUCAAUUAAACUGAAAGAUGUGAUAGAGGGUUGGGUUUUUUUCCCCUCUUAAGCAACUAAAACCUACAUAUCCUUAUUUAUCAAUGUCUAGAAAGAAGCAGAGGAAAUGCCCUAGCUGUGGUAAUCCAGUGCAAGCAGCCCAAAUCUCUGGAAAAAGGUGUGAACUCAUUUGUUGUUAAAAGCCCACAAUGCUCCUGAUAACUCAAAGCUAGAUUCAAUGCUAGUAACAGACUAUCUGCAAGGUGCAGCACAGACAAACCUUCACAGGGUCAUAACCCAAGAAGAAUCCCUUAUACUUCAGCUCAGUGUGAAGAAACAAGAGAUGCUGCCCAGCUGCAGAUAGAAAGUUCUAAUUGCCCCAGCUAUCGGAACAGAUCAUUGCACAUAGAGCCCAGAUCCGAGUUCCACAGCUUACCUGUGUGAGAAGUGGAAGGGUCCUCAAUUUUUCCAACACAUUUGUUUUUGAUUACUGGUUUAUUUUUCUUUUUAAAGAAAGAGGCAGAUGUCUCUUAACCGUAAUUCAUACUGUAGCUAUUAAUAUGGAGUAACAGAAGUGACAAAUAGUAAUAUAUGAGCCUUACCUGUCAUCCUUUUCACUAAGUCCAAAUCCCUCUGUAAGUGACACUUCUAUUUCUUUUUGUGAAUCCUGGCAACCAAGAGGAAAAAUAAAUACACUGUCUGUAAUUGGUUCUUCAGUUAAGGUUUAAGUGACUCUAAGAAUCUGUACUUUAACGCACCUAACUGAAAAUAAGAGUCAUCCAAAGGAGAUAGAUAGAUACCCUAAUUCUACAAAUGCUACAUUGCAUCUAGAAUAACAACGCUCUGGAAAAAUCAGGUCUGGAUAAUGUCUGAACAAAAAUACUAACGUCUGAACAAAAAUUCCUUCAUCAAAGUCAUGUUCACCCACGUACAUACCUGUUCUUUAAGAUCAAAUUUUCCAUUUUGCCAGAAAAAAUUCUCUCAGUUGUGCUAGUGGAACACAAACUGACCUGUGUAGAUUCAAACUAUUUAAACACAGUUUAAACUAAAAACUGAGGGCUUUUAAAUUUAAAUAUUGUCCUAGUACCUAAAAACCAAACCAACAAACCAACCCCUCCC